rnacentral:rRNA from 1 species
GACGAACGCUGGCGGCGUGCUUAACACAUGCAAGUCGAACGGAAAGGCCCUGCUUUUGUGGGGUGCUCGAGUGGCGAACGGGUGAGUAACACGUGAGUAACCUGCCCUUGACUUUGGGAUAACUUCGGGAAACUGGGGCUAAUACCGGAUAGGAGCUCCUGCUGCAUGGUGGGGGUUGGAAAGUUUCGGCGGUUGGGGAUGGACUCGCGGCUUAUCAGCUUGUUGGUGGGGUAGUGGCUUACCAAGGCUUUGACGGGUAGCCGGCCUGAGAGGGUGACCGGCCACAUUGGGACUGAGAUACGGCCCAGACUCCUACGGGAGGCAGCAGUGGGGAAUAUUGCACAAUGGGCGGGAGCCUGAUGCAGCAACGCCGCGUGCGGGAUGACGGCCUUCGGGUUGUAAACCGCUUUCGCCUGUGACGAAGCGUGAGUGACGGUAAUGGGUAAAGAAGCACCGGCUAACUACGUG